rnacentral:rRNA from 1 species
GGCUCAGGAUGAACGCUAGCGGCAGGCUUAAUACAUGCAAGUCGAGGGGCAGCGCGGGUAGCAAUACCUGGCGGCGACCGGCAACCGGGUGCGGAACACGUACGCAACCUUCCUUUAAGCGGAGAAUAGCCCAGGGAAACUUGGAUUAAUACUCCAUAAGAUUAUGGUGUGGCAUCACACAGUAAUUAAAGCUCCGGCACUUAAAGAUGGGCGUGCGGCUGAUUAGGUAGUUGGCGGGGUAACGGCCCACCAAGCCUACGAUCAGUAACUGGUGUGAGAGCACGACCAGUCACACGGGCACUGAGACACGGGCCCGACUCCUACGGGAGGCAGCAGUAAGGAAUAUUGGUCAAUGGACGCAAGUCUGAACCAGCCAUGCCGCGUGGAGGAUGAAGGCCCUCUGGGUUGUAAACUUCUUUUAUCUGGGAAGAAACCGGACUUUUCUAAGGCCGUUGACGGUACCAGAUGAAUAAGCACCGGCUAACUCCGUGCCAGCAGCCGCGGUAAUACGGAGGGUGCAAGCGUUAUCCGGAUUCACUGGGUUUAAAGGGUGCGUAGGUGGGCAGGUAAGUCAGUGGUGAAAUCUCUGGGCUUAACCCAGAAACUGCCGUUGAUACUAUCUGUCUUGAAUGUAGUGGAGGUGAGCGGAAUAUGUCAUGUAGCGGUGAAAUGCUUAGAUAUGACAUAGAACACCCAUUGCGAAGGCAGCUCGCUACACUAUUAUUGACACUGAGGCACGAAAGCGUGGGGAUCAAACAGGAUUAGAUACCCUGGUAGUCCACGCCCUAAACGAUGGAUACUCGACAUCAGCGAUACACAGUUGGUGUCUGAGCGAAAGCAUUAAGUAUCCCACCUGGGGAGUACG